UUGGGAUUACAUAGGAAGUGACCGCUAAAAGGUAUAGUUUCCUCCUGGUGACGACAAUAUUUUAAAGUUGACUGUGGCGAUACUUGCACGACUUUGUGAACACAGUAAACAAUGAGUUCUCUAAUUCAUUUUGGUGCUGGGGAAUCAAGCCCAGGGCCAUAUGCAUAUAAGCCAUGCAUUCGAUCACUGUACUACACACUCAACUUGAACUGUGUAUUUUAAAUGGGUGAGUUAUAUGUGAAUUGUCCCUUAAACUAUUAUAAAAAUAUGUUGAAAAUUUUCAGAUUUAAAAAGAACUACACUAAAUAAAAUUUACAGUAAUGAGUCCCUGAAAUUAAAAACUUAAUGGAACUAGCAAGUAGAUGAUAAAAAUUUUAAAAUGUUGUUUAUGAUAGAAAAAAACCUACCAUGAGUGUCUAAGAUGAGUAUAUAACAAUGUUCAAGGCUUCUACAGUGAAAAACACAGAAAUUAAAGCCAGGUAAGGUGGCACAUGCCUCUAAUCCCAGCUGAUGAGGGAGGACUGCCCAAAGUUUAAGGGCUACAUAAUGAGUUCAAGGCCAGCCUAAACUACAUAGUGAGAUGCUGCCUCGAAAAAUGAACAAACCACCAAGCAAACAAACCCCAGAAAGUAAAUGUCUCACAUAAAUGAAAGGAUUCAACAUUUUCAUAUAUUGAAUAUUAAGAUGUUAAUGCUCCAUGUAUUUCUGGUCAAAAUCUCAAGAUAUUUUUUUAAAAAUGGAAAUUGAUAUGCUGAUUCUAAAAUAUUAGUAAAUAGAAAGGUUCUACAACACCCAAGACAAGGGCUGGGGAUACAGCUCAGUGUUAGAGCCCUUGCCUAGCAUGCAUGAGGCUCUGGGUUCUAUCCCUAGCUCCAUAAGAAGAAAAAAUAGAAUACUCAAGACAAUCUUGAACAAGAGCAAGGCCAGACAACUUCACUACUAGUCACCAAGACUUAUUAUGCCCUCACAGUAAGACAGUGUGGUAUUGGUCUAAGGCCAGCAAAUAGAAUAUGCAGAGAUAGCUAAGUGUGUAGCUGUUUCCUGAUCUCCCUGUGUUAAUCCAGGUGACAUGUUACAAAAAUGAAUAAUUGAAAGACGAAUUAGCCAGAAAACUUGAAAGUGCAGCAAAAGAAAUUAAAAAGUAGUAAUGCUGGGCCAAAUGUCAAUGGUGUAGGGAAGACAUAGAUGACUAGGGAUGCUGAUACUGCUGUGGUUUCAGAGACUGGAUGUGCAGCCACAGGAAUCGAAUGGGGCUCAAAUUUAUCAACCUCACUGAAGACAGUGGCUGUAAUGAAAAGGAUGAAGAUGUUUCAAAGAGAAUAAUGCAGCAAAAAUUCUCUUCAUGUUAAGGAACCCCUGAAGAUAUUCUGUGAUACCGAAAUCACUGGAAGCUGCUUGUGACACCGGCAAGCUCACGUUACCCACUUGACAGAAGAAUGUCCAUCAUAAAGGUGAAGCGUUCGUCAGAGUUGCAGCACAAGUUUGACAGCAGCGAUGGAACAAGGGGACCCUUACGGAACAUCUCUCAGUGACAGGCAGCCUACUACGUGGUAGUUUUGAGGUCGGCUGUCGGCAGCACACACGGAAGUCAUGACCCCUGCAGCACCAAGUCUGGAUUUCAAAACUUCUGCACGUAAGCGACUGUAUUAAAUGCAGAAGUAUCGGCUUAUUCAUCAUACAUCAUCAUUUCAGGAGCACAGUCUACCUUCUGACUAGCUUCAUGAACUCUCGAGCAUAACGCUGUGGGGAAUGAGGAUGAGUCCAGUUCCCUGCCCUGCUGGUUAUGGAGCCUCUGACUGGGCCGCAGUCUCCGACAGGUUCAUCUACAGCAAUGAUUUUGUGGCCUUGGGAUCUAGCAAUCAUCAGGGGAGAGUCAGCAAUGCCAGGCCACUGCUCUCUGGAGAAGGCACUGACCCUGUUGGGAGGAAGGACCAUCCCAGACCUGCUGUUUUCCUGAUACCCAAAGCCUCAGCCAAAAAAGCACGGUGAGGCAGAAGAAAGUAAAUAGGCAGUUCACUUUUCCUGGUGACUACAGGAGGGCUCCUUGUCACCCAGAGCCCAGCCAGCAUACUGCCCUGUCCUGGGCCAUACCUGUGCUGAAGAAUGGAAGGCCAAGGGUUGUUUCAAACUAUCAACAGGAAGCGAGCAAAGGUCUGAAGUUCAGAAAAUGAAUCAUUCCCAUGGUGCUGGCUUCAUGACUGAGAACACAGUGACUGUGGGUAUCUGUCUCAUCUAUGAACAUAGCCUUAAUCACUGCCAACAGCCUUAAUCAUUCCAAACGCAAGGCUUGCUGCCUCGACUCCCCAAGUGUGCACUGUCUGUAAUGAUCAGGAGGUAAGAAUGAGAAAGUACCUAACACCCAAAGGAGCAGAUGCUUUAUACAUGCACCCUUCAGAAGAAAAAGGUUCUCCCUUAGGACUGGCAGAGCACAUGAUGCCUUGUUUAUCAAACAAUGAUGAAGGUUCCCAGUGAAAAAUGACCCAUGUAUCCCUCUCCCAACCCUGUUCCUAUUCCCAAGAAUGUUUGUAAUUAAGCUGUUAUUGCAUUUAUGCUUCUGAAUAGUCUUGAUUACUCAACUGGGGACAGAAACUACUGGUGUCUACUACAGUACCUGAGGACCUAGCUCUCUAUACCACACCUCACUUGCCCUCCCCUCGACCUUUCUCAUAUACAGUAAUUAAUUGGCAUUUUUCUUUUUCUUUUUUUUUUGGUACCAGGGAUCGAACUCAGGUCCUUCCACUUGCAAGGCAGGUGGGAGAACCACUGAGCUAAAUCCCCGGCCCUAAGUGUCAUUUUUCUGGUAAAUAGUGUUUAUUAUGACUCUAAAUACUGGUCACUACAGUGUAAGGAAUAUACUAAACGUAACUUUUCUGUUUUGGUAAAGCGUCUUUGUUUCUCCUGGGAUUAAUAAUUGUCUCAUUCCCCCUCCCUGUGCUGUUUUCUAUGCAUCUAUCUUAAAUUCUUCCAUGUGUCCCGUCAGAUCUAGCAGAGGCUUAUCAAUAUUAUUUCUCAAAUAUACAAAGCUGUCAGCUAAUCUAUUCCACUUUUUAUCCCCAGAACCUCCUACAAGGGCUCCCUGUCCUCUUGCUCAGUCUGCUUGACUGUCCCUCGGUCUGUCACACUGUCGUCCUUGCAUGUCCCUCUGUUGACUGUGAACAGCUCUCAUUAGCUGGAUCCGCAUCUUCAAAGCUCUUCCUUCCUUUCUGCUGCAGAUCAUUUCCCCAAAAUGACCUAAGAAAUGAUGCAUGAAAGAGAAACCUACGUCCCCAUGUUUGAAAUUGCCUUUACCUUGACAUCUACUUGAUAUUUUGCUGGGUAGAGUGUGAGAAAUUGAAAUAUUUUCUUAGAAUUUUUAAGAUAUUGCUCUGGUGUUUCUAACAUCCAAUUUUGCUGCUGAGAAGUCAGCUAUUCUUUUAUUUGUAUGUGACCCCCUCCCCGCCAGCCAGGGAUCGAACUCAGGAUCUUCUGC